GAUGGCAACCACACAUCGCUCGAUAUUAACUACUAUUUCUGUUCUUACAGAGACACUCAUUUUUAGGUAAGUGUUAUUCAAGUCUUCAUGAUAAAGGUAGGCUGGAGAAAACUGUAAUGACUGAAGCUUUCUGCCCCUUGCACAUCUUCUGGAAGAUACCUGUAAUGUUGAAGAUCAACGACAUUCUUCUCUGAGUAACCAACCUGUCACAACAGGAACUGAGACUGUAAAGACAAAUCCUAGACCAGGCUUGUCUAGGAAGACUUCAUAGCCCAGAGGAUAAUGCAAGGAUAAUGCGAAUGGAGUGAGUCUGGAGUUGUAAGCAGGCACCCAGGAAGUGCAGUGGAAACACAAAGGACUGGCUGAGCUAAAGCUCCUACAACCAGAUGCAGGUGCUAUGGAGGCUGGAGGUGAUCCAGGUGCCCUGGAGCUGGAGCAGCUAUGAGCCACCUGAUAUGGAUGGCAGUCCUCUUAAAGAGUACUGCGUUCAGAUCUGCUGAGCUACCUCGACAACCCUUUGACUGGACUUGUGCCCUUCUCAGCUGGCCUUUUCCUCCUCUUCCUCCUCUUCCUCUUCUCUUUCUUCCUUCUCCUCCUUUUUUAUUUUUGCCACAUUUGAUUCACCUACUAAGCCACUAACCAAUCAGGUGCAGUGCAUGUCUCCUCAAACACACUCCAGCACUUAGUUCUCAAACCUAGGACAAAGCUCGUGAGGCAACAGUGACUUAAAGUGAAUUGAAAAUUAUAAAUAAAUAUUUAUUUCGUAUAGUUCCAAGCUA